GUCACAGACCUAAAUCACCUGAGGCUCUCAGGUCCAAGGCCACCAGGACAGAAUGCUGAGGGACCAGUUCAACAGAAUCCAGGUUUACCUCCGUAACCCCACGUCUCUGCUCUGAUGUCAAGGUUACAUCGGUCUUCUGGGUGUGAAGAGAAGCAGCAGUAUAAAGGACGGAGACGGAGACGCAGCAGGCACAUCUUCCUGAGAGACUUCACUGAUCUCCAUCUUCAGAGCUCCGUCUCCCUGCUGCUCCACCCGACCUCCACAAGAGUCUCUCCACCUGUUCCUGCCUCUUCUCCACCAUGAAGACAGGUGCUCUGCUCCUCCUGCUGGCAGUUGCUGACUGCGAAGGUCGGGACCCUGACUGUGGAUUCAUGGACUAUUGGAGACAGAUUAUUGAUCUUUGAUGUGAGCUCCUGCAGGCACUCAGGUGUCCCUUUACGAUACGGUGAGAAGAUAUCGGACCCAGAGAACUGUUCCACUUUACUCUGUAGUACGUCUGCAGUCCUCGGUCCCGUCAGUUCAUGUGAACCCGGAGACGUUUGCCUCGGCAACAACACAAAAAAAGAUCUAUUUGACAGCCGGACACAGCUGGGAGGAACCGGAGCACCGUCCAACAUCUGGAGGAGAGCCUGAAACCAGGAGAGAGGAGGUUGUCAGAGCAGCACACUAACAUCAGGAGUGACACGCACAAAGACACACACACACGAGCAGAGAGAGAGAGUGCAGAGGGCGAGUUGGGCGAGCUAGCGCUCCUCUCUCUCUCAAAGCUGCGUGGUCAGUUACGGAUUCCUGAGGGACGCCAUCGACACACGCGUGUGUGUGUGUGUGUGAGAAAUUAAUCAUUUUGCAAUUUUAACAUGAAAAAGAAGUGACAAAAAAUGUCAUGUUGCCCCGAACAACAUGAAAUCUCUGCUUCAAAAAAACCAACUGUUUCCUUCCAUAGAAUUAGAUGAUGAAUAAACAGGUUUACUGUCCUUUCUAUGUGUUGUACACUUUUUCUGUAUAGAUUUUUAAGUAUUAUGUAUUUUCUACUACGUAUCCUCAGCUUUUUCUUUCUUUUAAUCCAACGCAAUGUGACACUUUAUAAAAAACAUGAAAUGAUUAAUUGAUAAAAUAAGAAAAAAAAAAGAAAGAUAUUUUGACUUGUUGAUGGAGCUGGAACCUGACUCAUAAUGUGAUA